rnacentral:rRNA from 1 species
CUGGGCGUAAAGGGUGCGUAGGUGGCGGAGCAAGUCGGAUGUGAAAGCUCGGAGCUCAACUCCGAAAUGGCAUUGGAAACUACUCCGCUCGAGGGUUGGAGGGGGGACUGGAAUGCUUGGUGUAGCAGUGAAAUGCGUAGAUAUCAAGUAGAACACCAGUGGCGAAGGCGAGUCCCUGGACAACUCCUGACACUGAGGCACGAAAGCUAGGGGAGCAAACAGGAUUAGAUACCCUGGUAGUCCUAGCCGUAAACGGUGCAUGUUUGCUGUAAAAGGAAUCGACCCCUUUUGUGGCGGAGCCAACGCGUUAAACAUGCCGCCUGGGAAGUACGGUCGCAAGAUUAAAACUCAAAGAAAUUGACGGGGGCCUGCACAAGCGGUGGAGUAUGUGGCUCAAUUCGAUGCAACGCGAAGAACCUUACCUGGCCUUGACAUGUGCGUAGUAGAAGGGUGAAAGCCCGACGAGGUAGCAAUACCAGCGCACACAGGUGCUGCAUGGCUGUCGUCAGCUCGUGUCGUGAGAUGUUGGGUUAAGUCCCGCAACGAGCGCAACCCUUGUGUCCUGUUGCCACCCCGGCGAGAGCCGGAAGCACUCUGGACAGACUGCCUCGCUUAAACGAGGA